UUAAAGAGACAAAACCAUUUUGUUCUCAACCUAAUUUGGGCCAAAAUGCAAUAACCUCAACUUUUGGGCUAUAUUGCAAAACAUAAACUUUUGAGGUCACUUUGUAAAAACACAAAAGUCCACUACUUCAUGUAAUUACAACUAGAACCCAAAAAUUUCAACAAAUUCAAAAACUUCAUUAAAGGAACAAAACAAUUUGUCCUUUAGUGAUUUUGGGCCUUUACGUAAGAAACGUAAACUUUUGGGUCAAACUACAAAUACACAAAAGUAUCAAAACUUUAUGUAAUUGCAUAAAAGCCCCAAAAGUACCCUACUUGUAGGGUGGCCGGUUUUGGUGAGAGUGAAGCCAUAAAAUUUUGAAUUUUUUUUCAACAAAGUCAUAAAGCCAUGCAAGUGGAAAUUGGUUGGUGGGAAACAUGUGUGUAAGAAAAAAAUCAAUUAUGUACAUAAAUUCAAACACUCUAUCAACAUUUCAAUCACCUUUUCAAAUAAAUGUCUUGUUGAUAGAAAAUUCACACAAACCAACACAAAACAAAGACUUUAUGAAAUCAACCAAAACUUUGAAUCAAAACACCAAACUUUUUGUUCUUGGUAAGAACCUCAAGAACAAUGAAGAACAUUCAUGAAAACCCAUAAAAUUUCCAUGAACAUUUUCACUCAAUAAAACUCAAAUUUUCACUACUCAAAAUGGGGUUAACAUCCUAGGGUACUUAGGGGUUCCAAAAAUCACCUUAAAACACUUUUAACAAGACAAACAAGAACCCAAAAAUCCACCCUUUGGAUUUGGCCGAAUUUCCCCAAAAACAUGGCACCAAAUUUUAGCUCCAAAAUUCAUGCUCAUAUGAACUACAUCUACAACAUUUGAGAUGGCAAAUUUUCUAACAAAAUUUACAUUCAAAGAAGCAAGAAUAAAGCUUGUAACAAUUACAACAUUCAAAUCAAAGACUAUGAACUACAAAACCCAAAAGGAUUCACCAACUACUAGACCUACGCUUUGAUACCACUUGAAGGAAAUUUUGUGAAAAACAUGUUCAUUUGAGCAACAUCUAUAUACCAUGCAAUUAACAAUUAAAGGCGGAAACAUGCUUGUAUGUGAUAGGAGCAUAUUUAUACGACUUAGUUAGCUUGUUUUCUUGCUUUUAAUUAGCUAAACUAUGAUAAUUAUAG
rnacentral:lncRNA from 1 species